GAGUGAGGGGGGAACAGAGAGAUGGGGAGGGGGGAGAAAGAGGGGGAAUAGAGAGAUGGGGAGGGGGGACAUAGAGAUGGGGAAGGGGGAGAAAGGGGGGGCAAUAAAGAGAUGGGGAGAAAGAGAGGGAAGAAUGAGACACAGGGGGAGACAGAGAGGGAAGAAUGAGACACGGGGAGAAAGAGGGGGAAUAGAGAGAUGGGGAGGGGG